AACCACUAGGGGAACCGCAAGGUUGAGAAGUUAAAACUGACCCUUAGAACCUGAUAUGGCUAAUACCAGCGUAGGGAAGUGGCAA
rnacentral:ncRNA from 1 species